ensembl:lncRNA
AUGUGCUUUAGGGACUUCAUUUCCAGUUCUGGCCUGGAUAUUUCCACCAAACAGGCCAUGAAGAAGUGGAACAAUCUGAAGCUCAAGUACAAAUCGCUUAGGGACCCACCCACAGGCAGAGGGGGAGAGUCCGGUACAGCUACUGGCGCCACCUGGCAGUGGUAUGGUGCCAUGGAUGCUGCACUCCGGGGACAUCACUCCAUCUGUCUGCCCCUGGUUGUUGCAUCCAAUAUGACUGUCACUACAGGUGGGGUAGUAAGCACACCGGCUUCUACCUCUUCUGCUGAGGAGAGAGAGAGAGAGAGAGAGAGAGAGAGAGAGAGAGAGAGAGAGAGAGAGAGAGAGAGAGAGAGAGAGAGAGAGAGAGAGAGAGAGAGAGAGAGAGAGAGAGAGAGAGAGAGAGAGAGAGAGAGAGAGAGAGAGAGAGAGAGAGAGAGAGAGAGAGAGAGAGAGAGAGAGAGAGAGAGAGAGAGAGAGAGAGAGAGAGAGAGAGAGAGAGAGAGAGAGAGAGAGAGAGAGAGAGAGAGAGAGAGAGAGAAUUCGCUCCCUGCUGGCCCACAGGCUCAAGACCCAUGUCGCAGAAACUCAAACUGUGUCUCUCCGAGCCGGAGAUCAAAAAGACCCCCCCCCCCCCUCCCAUGGAGACAUUGAAGAUUUGAGAUGGAGAGAGAGAGAGAGAGAGAGAGAGAGAUCUCGCUCUGCCUCCACGGUGUCACCUGGGCCCCUCUCCUCCAAGAUAUCCCCUGCUGCCAUGCAAUUGUUGUGCAGGAUGCAGCAGGCACCUACCACCUUGGGGACAAACAGAGACCGGAUCUCCAGAUACCGCAGGAAGAUGGCCCGCCAGCGGGUUUUGAGGAUCCCGAAUGACCUCUCCACAAUGUUACGCCCUCUAGCAUGGUGCCUAUUGUAUCUGUCUUCAACCUGACCUGCUAAUCAAAAAUCACAUGGAUGUAUCAGUGUCACCAAACUAACAAUUUGUUUCUGUGCAUGUGUGACAGAAGAGAAGGUGCUUACCGGCUACAGGAUGGCGUCAUGAUGGCCACAGGACGCUGAAGGCAUGGGUACCCUCCAUCACCCAGCAAGAAGUACCCAGCUGGUGGGUACAGAGCCUGCCUAUAAAAGGGAGAACGCCGGAGCACGAGGGCAUCAUGCACCGACCCCGGGGUCCCGAUGUACACGUCAAUAAAUUCACCGUUUCCAUCACAGAUGCCCUGCAGGAUGAUGGAAGUGAAGAGCUUCCGGUUAAAAUAGCUCUUCUUCUGCUCUGCAGGUGGCAAAACUUUUAUGUGGCAUCCAUCAAUGGCCCCAGCGGCACAUCUGAAGGCCUCGUGACCUGCAAGGCGAGCAAAGCCAGCCCCCACCGCCUCCAUCUCCUCUGCCUUGGGGAAAUGAAUCACCCUGUGGAGGAUGGCCAUCAUCUCCUCCACCACGCCAUGGACCGUCCUGCAAACUGUGGACAUGGGCAUCCCGAAGGCAUCUGCCGUUACCCUGUACGAUGCUCCACAGGCCAGCUAGUACACUGCCACCAGCACCUCCACCUCAUGGCUCCAUCCAUGGACUUUUUGCCGGGGCAGCAAGGCAAGCAGCCGGUUGAAGCUCUCCCUGGAGAGCCUGAAGGCUGGCUUCAGGUCCCCUCAAGAGAAAAACAGAGCUAGGAAGGGCACAGUGAUGUUCAGCUGUGUGUACAGCUGUGAGCUGCUUUGGUCCUGGUCAGAGGUGGGUAGGAACGCGCUACAUUUACUCCGUUACAAAUACUUGAGUAACUUUUUGGAUUAAUUGUAAUUUUAGGAGUAGUUUUAUUGCAACAUACUUUUACUUUUACUUGAGUAAAUAUUUGAAGAAAGAACGGUACUUUUACGCCGUUCCAUUUGGCUACGUGACGGUCGUUACUUUGUUUUUUUAGAUCUUUUCUUUUAUUACAUGCGAGAUCUAUUUUUAUCACGUGAAUAUUCCUUAGCCCAAGUGACGGAGAUCAAGUACCUCGGGGUCUUGUUCGCGAGUGAGGGUACUAUGGAGCGUGAGAUUGGCCGGAGAAUCGGAGCAGCGGGGGCGGUAUUGCGUUCGCUUUACCACACCGUUGUUACGAAAAGAGAGCUGAGUCGCAAGGCAAAGCUCUCGAUCUACCGGUCGAUCUUCGUUCCUAUCCUCACCUAUGGUCAUGAGGGUUGGGUGAUGACCGAAAGGACGAGAUCGCGGGUACAAGCGGCCGAGAGGCAAUUGAAAGCGCCUGCACACACACACACACAGGCACGCACGCACACGCAGUGGUAAUCGGGAGAGUUGGGAGAAUUCCCUGUGGCCCGUUAACGUUUCGGGGGGCGCCGGGUCAACGUCGCAACCAAUUCGCUUUUGUCUAGACUAGGGGAAUAACUGAGCGCCCCCUCCCGAAGUGGCACAGCCCAGGUCGGCCUUGAACUGCGAUUGGUCAGAAAGACGUAACAGCUAAUGAUAACAUUGAACUCUCAUGCAGGCUCGAACAGAGUGACACACACACACACACACACACACACACACACACACACACACACACACACACACACACACACACACACACACACACACACACACACACACACACACACACACACACACACACACACACACACACACACACACACACACACACACACAUUAUUUUUAAAACUCUUAUUUAUUUUAUUUAAAAGGAUGUUAUUUACAUUAUCUUUACUUGAACAUUGCUGUUUUAUAUUUUGUUGGUGUCUAUUUUGUACCGUUUGUGUUGCUCUGUUUAUUUAAAAAAUAAAUCGGAGAAACUCAGUACUUUUCACUGCAUACUUUUUUACUCUUACUUGAGUAAUUAUUUUUACGAGUACUUUUACUUCUACUUGAGUAAUUAUAAUCUUAAAGUAACAGUACUUUUACUUGAGUAAAUUUUUUAGCUACUCUGCCCACCACUGGUCCUGGUACCAAACAAAGAAAAUAAAUGUAUUUUUACAUGCCAAUGGUUAGGUUCAUAUAUUUUUAGAUUUAUUGCUUAUUUGUGUAUUUUAAUGUACAAUAAAUUGCAAUUAUGUAUUUAAUAUGUAUUGUCUGCUG